AACCCUCGAGAGUGGCGAACGGUGAGUAAUAUAUCGGAACGUCGCCCAGUCGUGGGGAUAACGUAGCGAAAGUUACGCUAAUACCGCAUACGAUCUAAGGAUGAAAGCGGGGGAUCGCAAGACCUCGCGCGAUUGGAGCGGCCGAUAUCAGAUUAGGUAGUUGGUGGGGUAAAGGCCCACCAAGCCAACGAUCUGUAGCUGGUCUGAGAGGACGACCAGCCACACUGGGACUGAGACACGGCCCAGACUCCUACGGGAGGCAGCAGUGGGGAAUUUUGGACAAUGGGCGCAAGCCUGAUCCAGCAAUGCCGCGUGCAGGAAGAAGGCCUUCGGGUUGUAAACUGCUUUGUACGGAACGAAAAGGUUUCCAUUAAUACCGGGAGCUCAUGACGGUACCGUAAGAAUAAGCACCGGCUAACUACGUG
rnacentral:rRNA from 1 species